GGGCUUACGUCUUGUNUUGGAAUGAUGGGAAUUUAAACCUCUUCCGGAGUAUCAAUUGGAGGGCAAGUCUGGUGCCAGCAGCCGCGGUAAUUCCAGCUCCAAUAGCGUAUAUUAAAAUUGUUGCAGUUAAAAAGCUCGUAGUUGAAUUUCUGCUACAUUGCCUAUUCUCCUUUACGAGUUUGGGUCUUUUGUGGCUUAUCUGGGUUCGCUUGCGUUCCCGGUGUUUUACUUUGAGAAAAUUAAAGUGCUCAAAGCAGGCUUUUGCCUUGAAUAGUUUAGCAUGGAAUAAUAAAGUAGGACUUUGGUUCUAUUUUGUUGGUUUUAGGUACCAAAGUAAUGGUUAAUAGGAACAGUUGGGGGCAUUCGUAUUUAAA
rnacentral:rRNA from 1 species